rnacentral:rRNA from 1 species
AUUGAACGCUGGCGGCAGGCCUAACACAUGCAAGUCGAGCGAGCGGCGGGCGGGUGAGUGAUGUAUGGGGACUGCCCGAUAGAGGGGGAUAACUACAGGAAACGGUGUCUAAUACCGCAUAAUGUCGGAUAACACAUAUGGGAGUAGCUAGUAGGUAAGGUAAUGGCUUACCUAGGCGACGAUCCCUAGCUGGUCUGAGAGGAUGAUCAGCCACACUGGGACUGAGACACGGCCCAGACUCCUACGGAGGCAGCAGUGGGGAAUAUUGCACAAUGGGCGCAAGCCUGAUGCAGCCAUGCCGCGUGUAUGAAGAAGGCCCUAGGGUUGUAAAGUACUUUCAGUCGGGAGGCGUUACCGACAGAAGAAGCACCGGCUAACUACGUGCCAGCAGCCGCGGUAAUUC